ensembl:lncRNA
CAUCUCCUGCAAAGUACCCCUAUCCUAAAGCUCAUCUCUCCUAUAGAGCAGUUAAAAAACAUGUAUAAAAAUGUACAAGCUUUGGUGUUUCGCUGCAGGUGGGAACUGAUUUCUACACACAGUGGAUCUUUAGGAAGGGGGCACACCAGCUCUUGGGCAUACUAGAAUUCGAUCGGUUCUGGUUUCUAUUGUCUUCCUGAUCAGAUAUGGGGCAGAUGGAGAAGCUAUAAGCACACAGCACAAUUUAAACAAGCUUAUUUAGCCAGACUAUUAAAAGAAUUUGUCGUUGGGGUAAUUUCAGCCUUUACCAAAUGCUGAUAUCAGUCAUAUCAGUGUUAGCCUUUCUGGGUAGAGUAAUCUUUAAGAACUAUCACCUUCUCCCUCUGAUGUAGCUAUUCAGGUCUUGCCUUACGUUCAUUCUUCUCCAGGCCUUCACAGUUCAUGUGGAUCCAAACCCAGGGUUAAAAAAACACACAGGGGUGAAAUAAGUUCAGCUUGUUUUCAAAGAACCAUGAAACAGGCCACCUCAGUACUGAAUACACGAGAUCUUGAGCCACUGUUUGUCAAAUAAAAAGUUUCAAAAGUGGCUUUUUGUCAGAGCUCCGAUUCCCUGGGAGAAUGGCACAGGUGCUCUGCUUAUCACACUCUGGACUUGUGGUUUCAUCACAGCUGCUGGAGCAGCCUGCCGGGAGGCUCUUUGUUGCUGCGGCUUCCUCACUGUACACACUCUCAGACACUAUAAAGUGGGCCAGAGUUGAGAUCACUGCAGCAGUUUUUCAAUCCAGAGACUGACCAUGGGCAUGGACACGCUGAUGCUCACAAUCCUGAUAGCCCUGCCACUCUUGGGAACUGCCAAAGCGAGAUCUGUCGAUGGAGAAACUGUGCAAGCAGUUGACACAUCUGCUGGUGAAGUUCUGGAUGAUGAUUCCUGUCAGGACUGCAAACAAAUUAUAGAGUUGCUGAAGCAUCUGAUGUCUGAUCAGCAGUUCCAGGCCAAGCUGAAGCACUCUCUGGAGAGCCUGUGUGACUCGCUCCCUGGGGAGAUAUCCCAGCUGUGCCGUGAGCAGAUCGAGCAGAACCUCCCCCUGACGCUCAGCUUCCUCAGUAACAUGAUGAAGCCUGAUGAAGUUUGCGCUUACUUGGGAUUAUGUGACCACCAGUUCAGAGGUCAGAUCCAGGACUUCAUGGACCAUAUGCACAAAACCAUCAGGAUGCCCACAUUCAGCAUCUAUGCCACAGUCCCUUGUACACUCUGCACAUAUGUUCUGAAGGUGCUGGAAUGUCUCUUACCCAAAGCACAGACAGAGGUAAGAUGA